rnacentral:lncRNA from 1 species
CUAAUUUUGGCCAGUGUUUGUGACCAAGUGGUUACUAAAAAAGACUGGACAUACCCCAUUUGCAAUACCUUGGGUUGUCUUCUUUUGCAAAUGGUAUGCCAUCAUGGGGGUAAUUCUCAUUCCUGGGCUACCAUACGCUCUCAAAGGCAACGUAACCAACCUGGCCAUUUUCAAUGUAAAAAUAUUUGACCCAUAUAUUUGACCUUGUAACUUUAAAAAAUACUAUAAAAC